GCCAGUGAUAAACUGGAGGAAGGUGGGGAUGACGUCAAGUCAUCAUGGCCCUUACGACCAGGGCUACACACGUGCUACAAUGGCGCAUACAAAGAGAAGCGACCUCGCGAGAGCAAGCGGACCUCAUAAAGUGCGUCGUAGUCCGGAUUGGAGUCUGCAACUCGACUCCAUGAAGUCGGAAUCGCUAGUAAUCGUGGAUCAGAAUGCCACGGUGAAUACGUUCCCGGGCCUUGUACACACCGCCCGUCACACCAUGGGAGUGGGUUGCAAAAGAAGUAGGUAGCUUAACCUUCGGGAGGGCGCUUACCACUUUGUGAUUCAUGACUGGGGUGAAGUCGUAACAAGGUAACCGUAGGGGAACCUGCGGUUGGA
rnacentral:rRNA from 2 species